CAGUAGCGUAUAUUUAAGUUGUUGCAGUUAAAAAGCUCGUAGUUGGAUUUCGGAUGGGAUUUGCCGGUCCGUCGUUACGAUGUGCACUGGCCAGUCCUAUCUUGUUGUCGGGGACUAGCUCCUUGGAUUCACUUCCUGGGACUAGGAGCUGACGAGGUUACUUUGAGUAAAUUAGAGUGUUCAAAGCAAGCCUACGCUCUGAAUACAUUAGCAUGGAAUAACACGAUAGGACUCUGGCUUAUCUUGUUGGUCUGUGAGACCAGAGUAAUGAUUAAGAGGGACAGUCGGGGACAUUCGUAUUUCAUUGUCAGAGGUGAAAUUCUUGGAUUUAUGAAAGACGAACUUCUGCGAAAGCAUUUGUCAAGGAUGUUUUCAUUA
rnacentral:rRNA from 1 species